ensembl:piRNA 21ur-8719 ncRNA
UUGUUAUAUAAAACAUGGUAA